rnacentral:rRNA from 1 species
GACGAACGCUGGCGGCGUGCCUAAUACAUGCAAGUCGAGCGAGCUUGCCUAGAUGAAUUUGGUGCUUGCACCAAAUGAAACUAGAUACAAGCGAGCGGCGGACGGGUGAGUAACACGUGGGUAACCUGCCCAAGAGACUGGGAUAACACCUGGAAACAGAUGCUAAUACCGGAUAACAACACUAGACGCAUGUCUAGAGUUUAAAAGAUGGUUCUGCUAUCACUCUUGGAUGGACCUGCGGUGCAUUAGCUAGUUGGUAAGGUAACGGCUUACCAAGGCAAUGAUGCAUAGCCGAGUUGAGAGACUGAUCGGCCACAUUGGGACUGAGACACGGCCCAAACUCCUACGGGAGGCAGCAGUAGGGAAUCUUCCACAAUGGACGCAAGUCUGAUGGAGCAACGCCGCGUGAGUGAAGAAGGGUUUCGGCUCGUAAAGCUCUGUUGGUAGUGAAGAAAGAUAGAGGUAGUAACUGGCCUUUAUUUGACGGUAAUUACUUAGAAAGUCACGGCUAACUACGUGCCAGCAGCCGCGGUAAUACGUAGGUGGCAAGCGUUGUCCGGAUUUAUUGGGCGUAAAGCGAGUGCAGGCGGUUCAAUAAGUCUGAUGUGAAAGCCUUCGGCUCAACCGGAGAAUUGCAUCAGAAACUGUUGAACUUGAGUGCAGAAGAGGAGAGUGGAACUCCAUGUGUAGCGGUGGAAUGCGUAGACAUAUGGAAGAACACCAGUGGCGAAGGCGGCUCUCUGGUCUGCAACUGACGCUGAGGCUCGAAAGCAUGGGUAGCGAACAGG